rnacentral:rRNA from 1 species
GACGAACGCUGGCGGCGUGCUUAACACAUGCAAGUCGAACGGAAAGGCCCUGCUUUUGUGGGGUGCUCGAGUGGCGAACGGGUGAGUAACACGUGAGUAACCUGCCCUUGACUUUGGGAUAACUUCAGGAAACUGGGGCUAAUACCGGAUAGGAGCUCCUGCUGCAUGGUGGGGGUUGGAAAGUUUCGGCGGUUGGGGAUGGACUCGCGGCUUAUCAGCUUGUUGGUGGGGUAGUGGCUUACCAAGGCUUUGACGGGUAGCCGGCCUGAGGGGGUGACCGGCCACAUUGGGACUGAGAUACGGCCAGGACUCCUACGGGAGGCAGCAGUGGGGAAUAUUGCACAAUGGGCGGAAGCCGGAUGCAGCAACGCCGCGUGCGGGAUGACGGCCUUCGGGUUUUAAACCGCUUUCGCCUGUGACGAAGCGUGAGUGACGGUAAUGGGUAAAGAAGCACCGGCUAACUACGUG